AAUAAAUUUUUUAUGGUUUAAAAAAUUUAUAAUAAAUUUGUUUUACAUGUAAAUUUUAGUGUUAGUUUUUAAUUAUUUUAAUAAUAAUUUAAAUUUUUAUUAUAGUAAUUAGUAUUAAAAAUUUAAGAAAUUAAGAUUUAGCAUUAUAAAAAUUAUUAACUAAUUUUGUGCCAGCAGUUGCGGUUAAACAAAAAAUAAAUUAAAUUUUUUUAGUUAUUAAUUUAUAAAUUAAUUUAAUUAAAAAUUUAAAUUAUUAAGUGAAAUUUUAAUUUAAUAAAAAUUUAUAAAAAUUUUAUGAUUUUUUAAUAAAUUUUAUGAAAAACUAGGAUUAGAUACCCUAUUAUUAAAAAUUUAAAUAUAUAUACUAAAAUAGUAGAUAAUUAUUUAUUGAAACUUAAAUAAUUUGGCGGUAUUUUAGUUCAUUUAGAGGAAUCUGUUUAUUAAUUGAUAGUCCACGAGUAAAUUUACUUAAUUUAAAAAUUUAUAUAUCGUUGUUAAAAAAAUAUUUUUAAAUAAAAAUAAUAUUUAAAAAUUUAAAUAUUAAAUUAAAUCAGAUCAAGAUGUAGUUUAUAAUUAAGAAUAUAAUGGAUUACAAUAAAUUUAUUUAUAUGAAUUUUAGUUUGAAAUAAUUAAAUGAAAGUGGAUUUAACUGUAAUUUUUUAAAAAUUGAAAAAAUGAUUAAAAAUUAAAAUAUGUACAUAUUGCCCGUCACUUUCAUUAAAAAAUUGAAAUAAGUCGUAACAAAGUAGGGGUACUGGAAAGUGUUCCUAGAAAGAU
rnacentral:rRNA from 1 species